AGAGUUUGAUCAUGGCUCAGGAUGAACGCUAGCUACAGGCUUAACACAUGCAAGUCGAGGGCAUCAGUUUGGUUUGCUUGCAAACCAAAGCUGGCGACCGGCGCACGGGUGAGUAACACGUAUCCAACCUGCCUCAUACUCGGGAUAGCCUUUCGAAAGAAAGAUUAAUAUCCGAUAGCAUAUAUUUCCGCAUGGGUUUAUAUUAAGAAUUCGGUAUGAGAUGGGAUGCGUUCCAUUAGUUGUUGGCGGGGUAACGGCCACCAAGACUACGAUGGAUAGGGGUUCUGAGAGGAAGGUCCCCACAUUGGAACUGAGACACGGUCCAAACUCCUACGGGAGGCA
rnacentral:rRNA from 1 species